AUUGAACGCUGGCGGCAGGCCUAACACAUGCAAGUCGAACGAGUGGCGGACGGGUGAGUAAUGCAUGGGAAUCUAGCUUAUGGAGGGGGAUAACUACGGGAAACGGUAGCUAAUACCGCGUACCAUAGGAUGAACCCAUGUGGGAUUAGGUAGUGGGUGGGGUAAAGGCUCACCAAGGCGACGAUCCGUAGCUGGUUUGAGAGGACGACCAGCCACACUGGGACUGAGACACGGCCCAGACUCCUACGGGAGGCAGCAGUGGGGAAUUGUGGACAAUGGGGGAAACCCUGAUCCAGCCAUCCCGCGUGUGCGAAGAAGGUCUUAGGAUUGUAAAGCACUUUAAGUUGGGAGGCGUUACCCACAGAAUAAGCACCGGCUAACUUCGUGCCAGCAGCCGCGGUAAUUC
rnacentral:rRNA from 1 species